rnacentral:rRNA from 1 species
AGUGAACGCUGGCGGUAGGCCUAACACAUGCAAGUCGAACGGCAGCACAGUAAGAGCUUGCUCUUACGGGUGGCGAGUGGCGGACGGGUGAGGAAUACAUCGGAAUCUACUUUUUCGUGGGGGAUAACGUAGGGAAACUUACGCUAAUACCGCAUACGACCUACGGGUGAAAGCAGUGGAUCUUCGGACCUUGCGCGUUUGAAUGAGCCGAUGUCGGAUUAGCUAGUUGGCGGGGUAAAGGCCCACCAAGGCGACGAUCCGUAGCUGGUCUGAGAGGAUGAUCAGCCACACUGGAACUGAGACACGGUCCAGACUCCUACGGGAGGCAGCAGUGGGGAAUAUUGGACAAUGGGCGCAAGCCUGAUCCAGCCAUACCGCGUGGGUGAAGAAGGCCUUCGGGUUGUAAAGCCCUGUUGUUGGGAAAGAAAAGCAGCAGGUUAAUACCCCGCUGUUCCGACGGUACCCAAAGAAUAAGCACCGGCUAACUUCGUG